rnacentral:rRNA from 1 species
GACGAACGCUGGCGGCGUGCUUAACACAUGCAAGUCGAACGAAGUGGCGAACGGGUGAGUAACGCGUAAUCAACCUGCCCUUCAGAGGGGGACAACAGGUGGAAACGACUGCUAAUACCACAUACGGAAGGAGGGGAUUGCGUCUGAUUAGCUAGUUGGAGGGGUAACGGCCCACCAAGGCGAUGAUCAGUAGCCGGUCGUAGAGGAUGACCGGCCACAUUGGGACUGAGACACGGCCCAGACGCCUACGGGAGGCAGCAGUGGGGAAUCUGCCGCAAUGGACGAAAGUCUGACGGAGCAACGCCGCGUGGGUGAUGACGGCCUUCGGGUUUUAAGGCUCUGUUAAUCGGGACGCGGUACCGGAAUAGAAAGCCACGGCUAACUACGUGCCAGCAGCGCGGUAAUAC